rnacentral:lncRNA from 1 species
UUUUUUUUUUUUUCCUUUUUCCUUUUUUGUUUUUGUUUCCCUUUUUUGGUCAUGUUACAAAGUGAGUAGCACGUGUGCAGCACUGGGCCGAGCGUGCCUCCGGGCCCCGGAGCUCAGCGCAGCCCCGCUGCCCUAGGGUGGGAAAGGCAGUGCGGGCAGCCCUUUUCCGCGGAGAGUGGAGGGAAGGGGGUGGAUAUUCACAGACUAACCAAGAGGACCCCUUGUAACCAAAGGAAAUAAAGGUACGAUUGCAAUUUGCCCUCACUUUGCAGUAGCUUUUAAGCAGCGACAUUCAGAGGCGUUUAGGGGGUCACUCCCCAGGUUGCAGGUCACGGGGUGCUAUAGGCCAGAGUUCAGUGUUAAUCAAAGGAGGGAGGGCAGACUUGGCAACUCUGUAGGGUUUGGAGAAAGUUAAAGCAAGUUACUCAGUUACGAGUUAGAAAUGAGGUAUACGACAGCUCCUGUACCUGUGGCGGAUAAACACCCCACACCUACUCACACCUAGCCUUAGAUACUACCACAGAGGAAGGAAAUGGAACAAUAGCACUGGCGGGGACGAAGCAGCUACCACUGCAUGGGUCCUUCCCAGAGAGGGCUGGCACGCGAGGGGACCAGCGCUGCUCCAGACCCUGCAAACCGCCCGCGGGUCUGCAGCGAUCCCUUCCCUUCCCCGCCUCGCAGGGAGGCCCGUGCCAGCUCCCCAGAACUCGCGGGGAGCGGCGCUGAUCUCCAAGUCUUUCGCGUUGCGCUUUCCCCUCGGACUCGCUCGGGUGCAGGGAGCACCGGGGUCACAGAGGCCGACACGUGGAGAGUGAAUGGGGGAAGAACUAAAGGGUUUGUCUCAACUGCCUUGUUCUCGGGACACUGUCACGGGUGCUCUUGCUCAAGGGGGAUGUGCGACCUGCACGGUUUGCCCCUCGGCACGCCAUCGCCAUGGUCUUGGGAUUCCUUCCGUUUCAAUCAUUUCAGAUUUCUAGAGCACUGCAACAUGCCAGCAUCAUCCGCACACAAAGCUACCACGUUCAGGGAAUAGGGCUCAAGUAGCUGCUGCUACAAAAUUCAGCAAAGGCAGUUCAAAUCCUGAAGUGGGGCCUACAACAGAUGAGAAAAUUUGGGGAGGAAAGGGGAUGCUAACGUGAUAAAUUAAGUAUCUCAUGGUUUUAUGUAAAGCUCUGCCGGUGAAUAUUCACCAGCAGACCGACACAGUUUUAAGACAGAUCAGCAUUUUGGUCUGAGCUACUUGACAAUGUCCUGUUUGGUAGAGAGAUGAAAUAAGGCAGAGGGGGUAUGUUCCAGUUCUGGGGCUGAGCCUCAGCAGCACUAAGGAACGCCAAAGGGUAUCAUCUUCCCUCGCCUCCCACAAGCUGUUUCAUUUCCUUCCUCAGAUUUGUUUUCCUUAAAGCACACCUUGUUUUCCACUUCUUUUGUUCCAAGUGCUCUUUUCUUUGAGAAGUCAUUUCUUCAAAAUCCCUAUUACCUAUCUAUAAAUCUAACUAGCUCUUUGAAAAGUCACACAAUAUUAAUACCACUUUUACAUAAUGUCAGAACAACAAUUCUAUUAGUAAAGCUUUCAGUGAAGUUCUGCAACCCGAUUGGUGUCCGGAGGAAGGGUAGCUGGACAACCCACCUCUCCCCCUUCCUCCCUCCCUUUCUUCACAAGAGCUCACCAAGUUCACUGAUAAAACAACUCAGCCCAAUAGCACGAUACAUGAACAUGUACAAGGCUACUUUGGGGAGCAAAGAAAGGAGUCUUCAAGGUCCCUCCCUUAAGAGAAAGACCGUACACAAAAGCUGUUGAACAGACUCUGACCUUGGACUACACUGCUUCCACAUUCGAAGGAAAGAAACAGUUUUCCCUGACUGUAUCCCAACAUCAGCCUCGGACCUGCAGCACUGGGCAAGUCCCCACACCGUUUGUCAGCACAGAGCCAAAGCAACUCUGCGCAGAACAGGCAGGAGCACCCACAAGAGACGAGGUCCUUACAGGAAGGGACACUGACCCAAAGCUCAAAACCACCCCACCCAGCUUUUCCUCUUACCCGCUCCGAGAACAGCAGAGCUGACAACUUCUCAGUGCCUUUGGUUCCCUACGAGGCCACUGGGAAUUCUCCCGCCCCAGUGGAGUCGAGCUCCUUUAGAAACCCACCUCUCCUGACCACCACGCACAGCCAGGCGCACACGCACUUGCACACACACCCAUGCACACCCCUCCCUUCUCCGCCCGUUCCGUCCGCCUUGAAGGGAAAUGAGAAGGGAGCCUUGGAGUCCAGAUGGAGGGGGCUGCAACACCCUCCCAAGGCAAUAACCACUCGCUCUUCUGCUACUCCCACCACACCACCAAGACAUAUGCCAGGAGAACGACCCACUCCCUCGCCAACAACCCCUCGAAGCUCCUCUCCCACGACUGUCUCACAGUAUUUCCACCCUUUCGGGCAUACCAGCCAGGUGUUAGGAGUAGGUUAGCUUUCACUUCUCAGUUUGGUUUUUUCUUUCAUAGUUUUUGGUCUAGACAGGAUUAGCAUUGCUAUUAGAAAAAGGAAGUGUUUAAAAAGUUUUCCACCUAUUAUCAAGCACUACAAGCCCUACAUUCAGUAACAAGACAAGGGGGAUAAAAGGAACCUGUUUCACUUUUGCUCUCCCAGAUAGAUUAAGAUGCGACAACCAUUCUUCUCCCUCCCCGAAGUUAAACGCAACCGACCCAGUUCAGCUCUGGAGCAACUCAACUAACUGAAAUGGAUUUACACCACCUAGGUUGAUUCUAACCCAGUACAGCCAUCUUCUUUCCCCUGAGCCUCCCGGAUACGCGUUGCCUCAUCUUUAGAUCCCAGCGAAGGGCAAGGAAAGGCCAAGAGGGAGGGAAGUGUGCGCACACUCGAAAGGACCCUGAACAGCAACCCAAUCAGUAACCUGCAUGCCACCACGUGCUGUGCUGCAGAUUAGACCACAGAUAAACCAACCAAACAACAAUCCCAAACCCAGGAGCGACAAAAUGUUUCCUUUGGCAAGACAGAUACAAGGAAAAAAAUUCAUGAGCAAACAUUUUCCUUCUAACACAGUCAACCCCCUUCUCUGCCCCAAACAUCCAUCCCACCCCCACCCAACCCUAUAAAGUUGUAACCUAUAAACAGGAUCUCAAAUACAUACAGCAUAAUCAUGUUUAUCAAUCAUAAACAUCAGUUCAACUAAACUCUACAGCUAGAAUUAUCUCCACUAUUUAUAAAGUUUGCUUUUCUCUUCUGAUUUUUUCAGUUUAAAACCAGUUCUGCGACAAUGCUAAGCUAUGUUGAGGUAUUUUAUGAAGGUGCCAGAAGCCAGUUGCUACCCACAAGUAUUGUUCUCAGAGCUGUAUGGUGCUACCUUUCGCUGAGGGAAGAUGGGGGAAGGAACAAGGAGGGAGAGAGGAGAGAGUAAGGGAGGGAGGGGGCCCAGAUUAUUCCAGUUACGGACGGUUCUUAGCAGUGUAUCGCUGCCAGAGCUAAAAGCAGCCCCAAGACAAAGCCCAGUAGUUGCUUUGGGUUUAGGAAUAUGGUCAGAAAAGAAGUACCUGAUACGUUCUACAUGCUGAGCUUAUUUGUCGACUCGACUAAAAGGUGUCCCUUCUCUUCUCCCACAGUUGAACUAUUUGUAAUUCCAGUGCAAUCUUCCUAACACUCUCCUAACAGCAUCCCACCAGGGUAAAAGCUCAGAGCAUGAGCGUCCUGGGAUCUGAUGAAGAUGGGUAAGCUGAACAAAUACCGUGUUCUUUUUCAUGCAUUACUCUGUGUGUUUGUCUAUGUAAAUAUGCAAGUAUGGGAAUCGCUUCAUCAUUCCCAAAGCACUGCAGCUACUUCCUACUGCAUACUGACAAUACUAUGUCAGUAAGCACUGACAUACAGGGAACCAGGUACCCUUUCAGAUCACGGAGCCAAAGAUAUGAACAUUUUAAGAAAUUACAAACUGUGAGUCAAUAACUUUACAACAAAGCCUCCUCUGUCAAAAAUCUUUAAAGUAUUUUAGGGGUCUCCCCGCUGGAAAGAAGAGAAGGACUCAUGAGCAGCAACAGGAGUGAGAUUUAAUGACUGAACAGGUAUGAUGACUCUGCAAGGUAUGCAUCUUGAAUUUUGUAUUGCUAUAGUAUUCUGGAAAGGGAGGGAGAAGUAGGAGGUAUUGGUUGCAAAAAUAUAAAGGAAUUUGAGUGGGCUAUGUGAGGACUGACAGCCACAAACCCAGUGGGGCAGCAGGCGAGCUUACUCCUUUGGUACAGCACUCCACCCUAGGCAACAGUCAGGUGUACAUCCAACAGCUAUAUCCAAGCCCUAUGGAUAAACAUCGUUGUGCCGUUUCAGGCAGAACAGGAAUAGGGUAAUAGUGACUCUUAAUAAAGUUAAUGUGGCAAUAAAUAGAUCUGCAUUUUAAACGUCUUGUUUAAAACCAGUAUCAUUGAAAGUUUGGACUCUCUGUCCUAAAAUACUCUAACGAACAUGAGAAGCUACUUGUCUCUCUCAGAUGAUUUUGUAAAGUAAAUUUUUAUCUAAGAAAAUAUCAAUUGAUGUUUAAGGUAAAUUAGAUGUUGCUUUGGCUUAGCAUCUCUGUCACGGCUCCAGCUGUAACGGGUUCUCCUCCAUCUGUAACAAAGAAAGAGGGAACUUCUCUUCUAAAGAAUGCCGCUCUGCAGGAAUGUACACAUAGUCCAGGAACUAACUCUGCUGACUCCUUCAGUAACUCAACUGCAGAAACGUGUGCUGAGCCAAAGCACACCACAAGGCUUUCCAGAGGUUGACAUUUAAACAUUAAAAUGAAUCAUAACAUUAGGUUAUAGUUCCAAAAGAAGUAAAAAAAACCAACCAAACAAAAUUUUCUAUUACACAACUGUAGGCAUGGAUGCACAUGGAGAAUUUUCUCUAACGUGUUUUGGUAACAGCCAUUCUCUUACUGCCCCCUGAGCAAAACCGGUUCUUUCUAUGCUUUUUUUAAGGAAUUAAUUAUCCUAAAAGAUUUUGGCAAGAUACCAAAAGAUCAGAAGCAUCAAAUCUUUGUCUACAUUUAAUGCUCACUGUUAAGUAUGUAAGAUUAAAAUAAGAAAAGGGGUAAAAGUAGAAGGAGUGCAUUGUUCUUGCUCAAAUUAAAAGCUACCUUACUAUGAGAGAACUUGUAUGUAAGAUCAGCAGAUAGCUUCCUUUGCUCAGUGUUGGCAUCUCCCUGAUUAACUCAGGAGGUGCAAAAAUCACAAACUGUAGUUCCAAAUGCAUCAGGAGCUAUACUGUUUCCACUGAAAAUCUCUUUGUCAGCUUGUUCAUUUAAAGAGAAAAUUCACAUCUGAAGCUUCUGAUGUCCUAAAAUGUCUACAAUUUCAGCCAUCAGAAUAUACGUUUUCCUCUUAAUGUUCUAGCAUUUUUGUUUUCUCUUACGAGAUAACCUCACCAGCACUCAAACCAAAGUACUGAGAAACAGCAGCAGCACAUUCCUACAUGAAAAUCCAACUAACUUCUCAGCAUGCUCUCCUUGCUGGUUCAGCCGAACACAGACUUCCCAUUCAUAGUAAAAUGACUUUUUUAAUCCAAUUUAACUUGUGUUUCGACAACUAUUUACUGAAGCAGAGGAUCUUGAGAAGGAGCAGAGCAGUGAUGUGUCAUCGUAAGUUACCCACAAGUUAGCCUAUGGGCUGGGGGAAAAAACACUCUUAUGAAUGAGGUACUUGUGCAUGUAACAAGCGUGGUACCUCCCCAACAACCGAGUGCAUGCACACAGGCACCACCUCGGAGGAAAUGCUAAAAAUGUGCUUAGACUAACACUGCACAGUAACUCAGAAACAAAACAAAUCCUCUUAAGGAGAUUACAUAGACAGAUGUGACUCUUGUAAGCCGCUGUAUCUGUGUGCACUUUCUAUGAGCUCUUCAUGAAUCAUUCUACGGUGACUACAGAAAGUGUGUUCUAAGGAGAUCAAGUGUGCUAAAGCCAAACUGGAAUACAUUUUCUUAACGCC